rnacentral:rRNA from 1 species
UACGUAGGGUGCAAGCGUUAAUCGGAAUUACUGGGCGUAAAGCGUGCGCAGGCGGUUUUGUAAGACUGUCGUGAAAUCCCCAGGCUUAACCUGGGAACUGCAUUCGAGACUGCAUUGCUAGAGUAUGGGAGAGGGAAGUGGAAUUUCCGGUGUAGCGGUGAAAUGCGUAGAUAUCGGAAGGAACAUCAGUGGCGAAAGCGACUUCCUGGACCAAUACUGACGCUCAUGUGCGAAAGCGUGGGGAGCAAACAGG